rnacentral:rRNA from 1 species
UACGUAGGUGGCGAGCGUUGUCCGGAUUUAUUGGGCGUAAAGCGCGCGCAGGCGGUACGGCAAGUCCUGUGUGAAAGCCCCCAGCUCAACUGGGGAGGGUCAGCGGUAACGGCCGUGCUUUGAGUGCAGGAGAGGGAAGUGGAACUCCGGGAGUAGCGGUGAAAUGCGUAGAGACCCGGAGGAACACCAGUGGCGAAGGCGGCUUCCUGGUCUGCGACUGACGCUGUGGCGCGAAAGCUAGGGGAGCAAACGGG